rnacentral:rRNA from 1 species
GAUGAACGCUGGCGGCGUGCCUAAUACAUGCAAGUCGAGCGAACAGACGAGGAGGUUUCUCCUCUUACGUUAGCGGCGGACGGGUGCUUAACACGUGGAUAACCUACCUAUAAGACUAGGAUAACUUCGGGAAACCAGAGCUAAUAACGGAAAAUAUAUUGAACCGCAUGGUUCAAUAGUGAAAGACGGUUUUGCUGUCACUUAUAGAUGGAUCCGCGCCGCAUUAGCUAGUUGGUAAGGUAACGGCUUAUCAAGGCAACGAUGCGUAGCCGACCUGUGGGGGUGAUCGGCCACACUGGAACUGAGACACGGUCCAGACUCCUACGGGAGGCAGCAGUAGGGAAGCUUCCGCAAUGGGCGAAAGCCUGACGGAGCAACGCCGCGUGAGUGAUGAAGGUCUUCGGAUCGUAAGACUCUGUUAUUAGGGAAGAACAAAUGUGUAAGUACCUAUGCACGUCUUGACGGUACCUAAGCAGAAAGCCACGGCGAACUACGUG